rnacentral:rRNA from 1 species
UACGUAGGGGGCAAGCGUUGUCCGGAAUCAUUGGGCGUAAAGAGCGUGUAGGCGGCUCGAUAAGUCUGCUGUGAAAGUCCAGGGCUCAACCCUGGAAGGCCGGUGGAAACUGUCGGGCUAGAGUCCGGAAGAGGCGAGUGGAAUUCCCGGUGUAGCGGUGAAAUGCGCAGAUAUCGGGAGGAACACCAAUGGCGAAGGCAGCUCGCUGGGCCUGUACUGACGCUGAGGAGCGAAAGCGUGGGGAGCGAACAGG